GUCCUGGUUGGGUAGUGGACUAUCCUACUGGCCUGCGGAGCCGGUGACCGGAGUUCAAAUCUCCGCCAGGACG
rfam:Halococcus hamelinensis 100A6 contig_5, whole genome shotgun sequence.